GCAAGUCGAACGGCAGCACGAGAUAAGCUUGCUUAUCUUGGUGGCGAGUGGCGAACGGGUGAGUAAUGUAUCGGAACGUGCCCAGUAGCGGGGGAUAACUACGCGAAAGCGUGGCUAAUACCGCAUACGCCCUACGGGGGAAAGGGGGGGAUCGCAAGACCUCUCACUAUUGGAGCGGCCGAUAUCGGAUUAGCUAGUUGGUGGGGUAAAGGCCUACCAAGGCUGCGAUCCGUAGCUGGUUUGAGAGGACGACCAGCCACACUGGGACUGAGACACGGCCCAGACUCCUACGGGAGGCAGCAGUGGGGAAUUUUGGACAAUGGGGGCAACCCUGAUCCAGCCGUCCCGCGUGUGCGAUGAAGGCCUUCGGGUUGUAAAGCACUUUUGGCAGGGAAGAAAAGGCGCCGGUUAAUACCUGGCGCCGCUGACGGUACCUGCAGAAUAAGCGCCGGCUAACUACGUGCCAGCAGCCGCGGUAAUACGUAGGGUGCAAGCGUUAAUCGGAAUUACUGGGCGUAAAGCGUGCGUCGGCGGUUUGGCAAGAAAGGUGUGAAAUCCCAGGGCUUAACCUUGGAACUGCACUUUUAACUGCCAGGCUAGAGUAUGUCAGAGGGGGGUAGAAUUCCACGUGUAGCAGUGAAUGCGUAGAGAUGUGGGGGAAUACCGAUGGCGAAGGCAGCCCCCUGGAUAUACUGACGCUCAGGCACGAAGCGUGGGGAGCAACAGGAUUAGAUACCUGGUAGUCCACGCCUUAACGAUGUCACUAGCUGUGGGGCUCGGCCUAGUAGCGCAGCUACGCGUGAGUGACGCUGGAGUACGUCGCAGAUACACUCAUGAUUGACGA
rnacentral:rRNA from 1 species